rnacentral:ribozyme from 1 species
GUAUUUGUCGUUUCUUUCAAUUCUAUAUUUAUUUAUUUAUUUGUUUCUCUAUGUAGCACGACCAGCACGAACUGUGAAUCGAGAAGAAAAGGACUCAAAGGAAGGGAGGUACUGCAGUGAGAGAGAA